UACGAAGGGGCUAGCGUUGCUCGGAAUUACUGGGCGUAAAGCGCACGUAGGCGGCUUUCUAAGUCGGGGGUGAAAUCCUGGAGCUCAACUCCAGAACUGCCUUUGAUACUGAGGAUCUUGAGUUCGGGAGAGGUGAGUGGAACUGCGAGUGUAGAGGUGAAAUUCGUAGAGAUUCGGAAGAACACCAUGGCGAAGGCAGCACUCUAGU
rnacentral:rRNA from 1 species